GUGGGUCGUUGGAUGGAAGUUGUA
rnacentral:siRNA from 1 species